rnacentral:lncRNA from 1 species
GACUUGGACUUUGAGGAAAAUGAGAAACCAUUGGCCAGUUUGGGGUAUUGGGAGAAGGAGAGGCUGUCAACCCAUGCCACUAUGCUAUCUCUAAUUCUGCCAUCCAGACCGAGCAAACGUACUUAAGACCUUUGUGUAAGAUCAGAAAAUCAUAAGACAGCAUUAAAAAGUACUAUACAGGAGGAGAUGGAACAAGAUGGCCAAAUAGAAGCCUCCAGCAAUCAUCUCCCCGAAAGGAAUUGAACAACUAUCAAAACAAAAUUGAACAACUAUCUAAACAAAAAAGUACCUUCAUAAAAAACAAAAAUCAGGACAAUAUCAGAACGGCACAUACAAGUGUCCCCAAGUCAUAUUUGGAAUAAGAUCACUUGGGAACACAAGUCAAAGAAGGACACAGUGUUCUGCCUCUCCUGAGUAAGCAGCAACAACGCACCAUCUUGGAAUCAGGGGACGGCCCUCACCAGACAACUAAAUCUGCAGACACCUUGGACUUCCCAGCCUCCAGAACUGUCUUUCUGGCAACUGUCUAAACAUAAACCAGAGAAGGGCAAGGCAGACUCAGGAAGGACAAAUAGAAGGCUAUUUUCAUAAAUCGGACCACCACCACAUGUGCAGCAUCCCUCUGGGUCUCUUCCAUGACAACCCUGUGGGAAGCCAGCUUGGCAGGUCACCUUGUUCUAGCAGAUAGAAACUGAAUCAAUAUGGGAAGAGCCAGAAUUUGGACAAGGUUCACCAAACAUUCACACUGAUGCCAGGUGGGCCAAGAAAAAGGGAAUGUCCUGCCUCUGAGAAAAUGAAGAUAGUAACACCUGCUCUGAAUUGUCACAGAAUUAUUGUAA